UUUUAACUGUAGCCACAUGACGUCAUUCCUAACUGGCCAGCCUUCCUUCUCCCCCGACUCAAUGCAGCCCUCGUGGCCUCGCAGUCCAGGAGCUCCCCUGGCUUAGGAACAGCUGACAACUCCACAGCUCCCAGCAGUGGCACCUGGAGAAGGGGCGGAUGGGCACUGACUUGUGGGCGUGCUCUGGGGCACCCCGUCCCCAGCUGUCAUGAGU
rnacentral:lncRNA from 1 species